AAUCUUCCACAAUGGACGGAAGUCUGAUGGAGCAACGCCGCGUGAGCGAAGAAGGUUUUCGGAUCGUAAAGCUCUGUUGUAAGGGAAGAACACGUACGGGAGUCACUGCCCGUACCUUGACGUUACCAUAGCAGAAAGCCACGGCUAACUCCGUUCCAGCAGCCGCGUUAAUACGUAGGUGGCAAGCGUUGUCCGGAAUUAUUGGGCGUAAAGCGCGCGCAGGCGGGCCUUUAAGGCUGAUGUGAAAGCCCACGGCUCAACCGUGGAGGGUCAUUGGAAACUGGAGGACUUGAGUACAGAAGAGGAAAGCGGAAUUCCACGUGUAGCGGUGAAAUGCGUAGAGAUGUGGAGGAACACCAGUGGCGAAGGCGGCUUUCUGGUCUGUAACUGACGCUGAGGCGCGAAAGCGUGGGGAGCAAACA
rnacentral:rRNA from 1 species